rnacentral:rRNA from 1 species
UACGUAGGGCGCAAGCGUUGUCCGGAAUUAUUGGGCGUAAAGAGCUCGUAGGCGGUCCGUCACGUCGGCUGUGAAAACCUGGGGCUCAACCCCGGGCCUGCAGCCGAUACGGGCGGACUAGAAUUCGGUAGGGGAGACUGGAAUUCCUGGUGUAGCGGUGAAAUGCGCAGAUAUCAGGAGGAACACCGGUGGCGAAGGCGGGUCUCUGGGCCGAUAUUGACGCUGAGGAGCGAAAGCGUGGGGAGCGAACAGG